rnacentral:rRNA from 1 species
UACGUAGGGUGCGAGCGUUGUCCGGAAUUAUUGGGCGUAAAGGGCUCGUAGGCGGUCUGUUGCGUCGGGAGUGAAAACUCAGGGCUUAACCCUGAGCCUGCUUCCGAUACGGGCAGACUAGAGGUAUGCAGGGGAGAACGGAAUUCCUGGUGUAGCGGUGAAAUGCGCAGAUAUCAGGAGGAACACCGGUGGCGAAGGCGGGUCUCUGGGCCGAUACUGACGCUGAGGAGCGAAAGCAUGGGUAGCGAACAGG